UACGUAGGGUGCGAGCGUUAAUCGGAAUUACUGGGCGUAAAGCGUGCGCAGGCGGUUCGCCGUGUCCGAUGUGAAAGCCCCGGGCUUAACCUGGGAAUGGCAUUGGAAACUGGCGGGCUGGAGUGUGGCAGAGGGGGGUGGAAUUCCACGUGUAGCAGUGAAAUGCGUAGAGAUGUGGAGGAACACCGAUGGCGAAGGCGGCCUCCUGGCUUAAUACUGACACUGAGGUGCGAAAGCGUGGGGAGCAAACAGG
rnacentral:rRNA from 1 species